ensembl:lncRNA
CUCGCCUGCCUUGCCCAGCCAGGCUCCCAUCUCUCACCGGCAGGCCCUCUCUUCCCUUUGGAGGCUGCAAGGCUCACUGUGUCCUCAGGCCCCCUGGGGCCCCCUGCACCCCCAGGCCUGCCAGCCCCUCCCUCUUCGGGCUCUUCCCUCGGCGCCUGGCCUCCCUCUCUGCGAUUCACUCUUCCUUUGCUCGGGAUCCCCCUUCUGGCCCUUCUCUGGCCUCCAGCCACCUGGGCAGACUUCUCAACUGUCCCUACAUCUUUCCUGCCCCGUCACCUGCUCCUUCCAUCUCCCCACCUUUGGGUCAUUUUGCAGACCGUUCCAGGGGCCCAAUGCCCCUGCCACCAGCGGGCACCCGGCCCGCUCAGAGCUCUGUGAGUCAGGCACCUGCUGGACGCAGGGAGCAGCCCAGGGUGGGCAGCUGUGGGGCCGCCUGGCGGGCCCUCCAGCGCUCCGGGAAGUCCCCUUCUCCACAGUGAGUUCUCAGCCCUUGGGGGACAGUGUUCCAGCUGGAGGUGCAGGCUGUCUGCAGUGGGAUGUGGGGAGGCAUCCUCUGAGCCUGGGGGCGUCUGGGCCUCAGGGUCCCCGCACCAUCCUUAACCCCCUUCGUGCAGGCUCCGGCAUGGUCAGGGUUACUUCUGCUUCCCUCCCCCAGGACAGAAGCCAGGAAAGACUGGACUGGCCAGAAAUGGGGGCACCCACCUCUGUACUCUUCUGUCUGCCCAACUGGGCCAGACAGCUCGAGUUGGGGCAGUCCCAAAGUGACAGCGUGUCCCCCGAGGAAGACUCCUCAGUCUUGACACCGCCUUCCUGCGGGCUGAGCGCCCUUGACCUGAGAACACUCCCUCGCACUGGUGCCUCUUCCCUGGAUUGAGGGUCUGGGGAGCCCGGAUCCCGCCUGCUGAUGGUCUCAAGUUUGCAAAUGUUUGUGAAGUGAAUGCAAUUUAUCAGGAAUCUACAACCUUAGGCUCUGACUUUUAAUGCCAAGGGC